ACAAUAACUCUUAUAUUAAUUUAUUUAUUUUGCCUUUUAUUCAUAAGUUUUAUGCAUAAUCUACAAAUUUUAUGUUUUAUUUUGCAUUUAAUGUUGAUUUUCUUUUUUUAUAUUAUACGUAUAAGUUUUCAUUUUAUUUACCAGUAAUACAUCUAUUUAUCAGUUUUAUAGUAAUUUACUUAUUUUACCUACCUUUUACAAUUCUUAUGUUUCAUUUCCAAAAUUUAUGUUUUAUUUUACAGUUGUUGAUGAUUUGCUAGUUUUAUGUUAUGUUUGCAAGUUUUUGUUUUGUUUACUAGUAAUAGAUUAAUGGGUAAUUUUUAAUUGAGUCCUCAUUAGUUCUAGAAAAAAAAUUCAGAGACCAGAAGUUUACUAAAUGAAUCAAUUAAAUUCUUUCAAGUACAAACUAAUGUCAUUCAAGUCCUUAACUUAAUUGCUCAGUUAAAAAUAUUAACAACGUUGAGGACAUUUUAGUAAAACAACAAUUGAGUUGUUUCUCAUUCUUUAUUUUUGACAGGUGGAAAUAGUUUAAAGUAAACUCAAUUAACCUGAUUAAGUUAAGGAUCAGUUCUUUCAAAUGAAAAAAAAAAAACCUAUAGAAAUUGCCAUAUUCUUCAUGUGAGAGGAGAGAUCGAGAGAACGUGGGAUGGUGCAAAAAAUGUUGUAUAAAUCUACUGUGAUUUUGACCAAAGCUUUGGUAGCAUUGAUUGAGUUCAAGUACUAGAGAGAACCUGAGUUUAAAGGUUAGUAACUCUAUUUUUUUAGUGAUUUCUGCAAGAAUUUUCUGAUAAAAUUUUUUCCAUAUUGAGUGAUCGUUGUGAAAAAUUAGGUUUUUCAAGUCUAUUUUUCAAAAUGACAAACUAUGUUUAAUUAUUGAUGGAUUCUUUUUUUUGUUCAAUGUUGUAUUUUGUUAAUUUGUUGUUUUUAAUUUGCUCUUUAUGUAAUUGUUAGACCAAAUACACCAUUAUUAUACCUGUAUUCAUUUCAACAAUUUGGUAUCGUUAUAUUAAUAAGAUUGAAUUCAUUGUAUUGGCUUCUUUGUUCAUGUAAAAUUGAAUUCUAUGUAUUCUUAUGAGUGAUAAUUUUUCUAUCUAUUAGACUAAAGUCACUAUAUUCACUACUUUCUUUCUUUUUGCUGGGCUAUUUUUUCUUUUUAGUUUAUAUUUUUUAUAUGUAUUAGAUUGAAUUUGCUUUUGUACAUUUUUUAGCCGAAUUACAUGUAUAUUUCAUUUAGGUUGAGUUUUUUUGUUGUUUGCUAAAUAAAAUUAUAUUGGUUUAUCCUUUUUUGAUGCAAUACUUUUUGUUUAAAAUUAAUGCAGGUAGCCAUGUUACCCUUUUUUGGGUUAAAAUUAAUGGGGUGAUGUAUGCGAUAAGAUUAUUAGGCUGUUUCUUGAAAUUCAAGAUGCCAUGAUUAAGCAUGGACACAGUGAAAUGGAUUUGAUUGAAAUUUCUGUUGUAUUGCCAUGGACUACAAGUAGGCAGAGGAAGCUAAUUUCAAACGAUAGUGAAUUGUAUUGGGUUUUCGAGGAGUUUUUUUUUAUCAAUAGUUGUCCUACAUUGAGUUUGAGGUGCACACUAGGUCAGGUGGUCAGUCAUUUCAUGAAAGUGUUGUAAUAGGACCUAAAAAUCCUGUCAAUAUUAAAAUUAGUGUUGUAAUAGUGAUAAGUUUGAAAUUCCUGUAGCUAAAAAGGGCCUGCCUAGAAUAAUUGGUACUUUUUUAUUUGCCUCAAAGUCCAACACUAUGAAAUCCACUAGGAAAAAGAAUUUAUCCACUUUAAUCGGCACGUCUUCAAUCUUGCCUUCAGGAUAAGCAUGAGAUCUGGCAGCACAUUGCAAUGUCACUGUGGUUGGUCUGACUUCUCCAACUCCCAAUUGCUUGAAUUAUGAUAAUGUCAUAAGAUUGAUGCUUGCUCCCAAAUCACAAAGUGUAUUGCCACUGUAUUUAGUUCCUAUGGAAUAAUGAAUUGUGAUACUUCUUGGAUCCUUUAACUUCUGAGGUAUUUUACUCUGAAGCAUAUGGCUGUAUUCUUAUGUUAGACCAACUAUUUCAAAUUCUCCAAGCCUCAUUUUCCUUGCCAAUAUACAUUUCCAAAACUUUACAUAAUUUGGCAUUUGUUCUAAUACUUCCACAAAAGGAAUGUUGAUAUGCAGUUGUUUCAAUACUUUCAAGAAUUUACUGAACUGCUUGUCUUGCUUUCGCUUUUGAAAUCUUUGUGGGAAGGGUGGUGGAUGUGUAAAUUGUUGUACUGUAGCAGACUAUACAGAUUGCUUUUCUCUUGCUCUAUUAUGGUAUGUUAUUGUUGGUGCUGCAGCUUCUUCCUCAACAAGCACUGAAUCAUGUUUUUUUGCAGUUGCUAUAGCUUAGCAACUCUCACUAGUGUGCUGGAAAAUGGGUUGUUGUGUCUCUUCUUUAAUUUGAGUUUCCCCUUGGGUUGAAUUAGGUUCCACUCUUUUUUUUGGUACUUUAACAAGAAUAUGGACAUCCUUUCCAGACUUUAAGUUAAUCCCCUUACAAUGCUCUUUUCCUUCUCUCUUUGGAUCCUCUAUAUUGUUUAGUAAAUUAUCCUGAGGUAUGUUGCUCAAUGCUGUAGCAAGCUGUCCAAUCUUAUUCUCCAAGUUUCUUAAAAAUACAGCUUGGCUUUAGACCACUACUUCAAUCUUCACAAUAUACUCCUUAAUCAGAGUUUCAAGGGAACUAAAUUGAUCAUUACUGGUGUUUCUUUACCCUUAAAAUUGCUGGUGAAAACCAGGUGGCUGAGCAAGUCUGUUAUGUCCACUGGAUGCUGCAGCAUGCUGAUUCUGAUUGCUCCAUGAAAAAUUUAGGUGAUGUCUCCAUCCAAUGUUAUAGGUGUUUGAAAAUGGAUUGCUUGGAUUUUGUUUAUUAAAAUUGCCCACAUAAUUGACUGAAGCUGAAUUCUUAGGACAAUUAUCAUAUAGAUGUCCCUCUCUAUAAUAAACACAAGAGACUUCAGCAACUUGGUUAAAUGUUGCUGGAACAGUGGCCGUUGCUUUUACCAUAUUUGUCAAUGAGGUUACUUGGGUUGUUAAUGUUGUCAGUGCAUCCACAUUGUGUUCUCCUGCUGCUCCUCUCACUGUGGCUUGUCUAGUUGAUGGCCAUUGAUAGUUAUCCUUUCCAAAAUUUCAUAAGCCUCAUUAUAUGAGUUAGACAAUAAAGCCCCUAGUGCUUGAGUUCAACCCAUUGUAGAAAGUUUCCAAUUGUAUGCAAUAAGGAAUACCAUGAUGAGGGCAUCUCCUGAGUAACUCCUUGAAUCUUUCUCAUGCAUCAUACAAGCUUUCAUCUUCAAGUUGAUGGAAAGAUGUGAUCUCAUUCUUCAACUUUGCAUUCUUUGUUGGUGGGAAAUAUUUCAUCAAAAUUUUGUCAGCCAAAUCAUUCCAUGUGGUGAUGGAGUCUGGUGGCAAAGAACUCCACUAUACCAACUAAAAUUGAUUUCACAAAACACAAUAAGCACCAAUCCCCGGCAACGGCGCAAAAAACUUGCUGUCGAUUUUCUAAUGUUAUUAGUGUCAAUGUGAAAAUGUAGACAACAAGUAAUAUAACGAUAAAAAUUCAAGAUCGUCUCCACAAGGAUUAUUAUUAUAGGAAUUGUUACAGUAAUUUUAUCAGUGCCAUUCUUAUUAUAAAUUAGAAUUAAAACAAAUUAUUCAACUAAUGAACUAAGGCAGAUCUUAUUGGGCUAGUCGGCAAUGUGUUGCUUUAGGUCGUGUGGAAUAGUUGCGGGAGUGAUCUUGCAUGAUGUGUGGAGCUAUAACAGUGCUGAGCAUGGGCCAAUCUAUGGGCUCAUGGAACUAGCGAACCUAUUCUAGAAUUUCGAGGAAGAGUACUCUGGUUAGUACUCUAAAUUACCUUAUUAUAUUUUGCACAAACAGAGGCAUGUUAGUGAAAUAAUAUCUAACCAACCCAAGAGGGGGGUGAAUUAGGUUUCUAAAAAUUAUGCAAUUCUUAAUCAAAACUUAAUGCAAAUCUUAAACGAAUCUAAAGCAAUAAUAAAUAAAUCAACCAAAAUAUAAAAAGAUAAAGGAAGAGAGAUUAAAACACAGAGAGUUUUACGUGGUUCGGCCAACCUUGCCUACAUCCACGCCUCUAAGCACACCGAGCUUGGGCAUUCCACUAGUCAAGCCUUCAAGACUUCAAGAACACUUACAAUUGACUUCUUAGGCGUCAAUCAACCUUUACAUCUAGAGAUUAUCUCCAAUCUCUUAACCCAAGUGUAUCCCCAAUCUUUUAGAGAGAUAUGGAGAGAAUAAACUUUGAAGAUAACAAUGAAAUACAUGACACAUUUAAGGAAGAAAAUAUAAUAGUAUUAAUAGAAUCUAUUUUAACCGGUCUUAAGAUAAUUCAAGAUUGAUGCAAAAUAAAUAACAGGACUCUAAACCGUCCAUAAUAAGUCUAUUGAUUAAUAAUAACAAUAAUAGUGAUGUGAAAUUUUUUAUUCUGAAUGCUCAAUUUAGAUUAUAAUAUCUAUGUGAAAGCAUUGAUGGCAUGUACCUUGGUUGGGAAAAUAGAUUGGACACAUGGAUAUAUAUGUUGGAAGAACAAAUCUAGUUUAUAUCUCAAGAGAGACAAUAAAUUAUGAAUGCCGGUGCUAUAGUAUAUUCAGGUUUUAUAAAUCUUUAUAAAUUUAAUAAUCAUUUAGAUCUUCAUAAUAUUAUAAUAAAACUUUAAAUAUAUAUGUAGAAGAGAUGGAAGAAGAAAUCAUCCAGUUAUUCAAAAUCAAUUAAACAAAAAUAGAAGGUAAAAUCCUUGAAUUAUAUAAAUUAUACAAUUUCACAUAAAUUUUGCAUAUAUUGCAAAACGGUCCUUGUGGCACUAAUUAUGGGACUAGUGUAGCAUAAAUACUAAUAUUGCUUUUUAUUUUGUAAAUUAAUUGUUGCGUCAUAAUUUUUUUACAUACAAAUUUUAUGUUUUAAAAUAUGAUUUUUUUUUGUAUUUAGGGUUAAUUUUACAAUUUCAUACUUUGUUCAAUUAUAUGUACAAGUCCUUAACGUGUUGGUUGAUGUUGAAUAUUCAAAGAUCCACAAGCUAUCAACGACAACGAAUCAAAUUAAACUAAUUUGUUAAUACAUAAUGACUAGGUUGUUUCCUAUGCUUGUUAAUGAUGUAGGACGUUAUUUUAGGAUUUUAGAAUUUUAAUUUUUAGGUCUUCUGAUAUUUUCUUUUUUAAUUAAAGUAAGUGUCUUAGUUUUCUUUUAUUUAUGUUAUAAUUAUAAUUUACUUUCUCUUUUUAAGCUAACUUAGGAAAAUAUAUUUACUGUAUUAUAAAUAAAGAGAUCUUGUUAUUACUUUAUAACUUCAAUUUUAGUUAUUCAAUUAAAAACCCCUCUUUUAUAAUUUCCUUUUGUAUUAUCUAUUAAAAACCCCUCUUUUAAAGUUGUUUGAUUAGAGCAUCAUCUAGCUUUGCUUAACGCAGUAUUAAAAAUCCCUUUGAGUUUAAUCACACUUCGAUUAGAGCGUAACUUUAUCGCAUUGACUUGAUCCAGUACUUGAACGAUAUCUACUGUUUUGCUUCUGCUAUGCCCAAGGAGAAAAUUAAUUUCACCGUGAGAUAAGAGCAUUAAAAGGAAUUCAUAAGAAAUUUAAAUUAAAGCUAUGUUAAAUAUAUCGCUAGCUACUUGUUUUUGGAGGAAUUAAAACAAUUAAUAAGCUGCGAAGUGAAAAUGAAUAAAUAAAUGAAAUGACGUUGAAAAUAAGUCUCGCCGCCUGGAUCCAAGGCCAAAACAUUCAUGAUAAGUUAGGUAAUUAAGUACAUGUUUUCAAGCUCUUCAUGAAGAAUAACGUUAUUGAAAUAAAUCACAAAGACCCCUGCGCAAAUUAUUACAUUGAUUAAAAAACAAAAAAGCCAUAUCUUUAACAGGAUCGUGACUCUCGGACUGUUAAUUACUUUAUUCCCUGCUUGGCCAACAGCUGGCCACUAAACAAAAUCAUAUAAAUUUUAAAUUUAGUCAAAUUGGUCCCACUUGAUGACAUCCUUUUCAUACAUAAAAUUGUUUAACGUCAAGGUUAAAUAUGAGAAGUUUGUAGAGAAGGUAAAAAGGAAGUCUAUAUAAGGAGGGGAACGAGCUUUGUUUAUAGCACAAGUGAAACUCCACUUUAUUGAACGAUGGGGUCUCAAAUGGGCUGCCUCUUUGCCACUCUUUUGGUAGUAUCAGUCUCUCUUAGCUACUUGCCGUUAGAAGCCUCCGCAAACAAAUACUACUACACAUCUCCUCCCCCUCCCAAGUACAAGUCUCCACCACCCCCGCCACCGGUUCACAAUUCUCCACCACCACCCCCUGUUUACCUGCCCCCGCCACCUCCUCCACCAGUCUACGUGCCUGCUCCGGCACCAACUCCAAUUUCCUAUUCCCCGCCACCUCCUGUCCCCAAGUCCCCACCACCACCUCACCCUUACGUCUAUGCAUCUCCCCCUCCUCCUUACUACUACUAGAAAGCGGCCAUGAAUAGCUCAUGCUUUUAUGGUAAUCUCAUUUAUUUUUAAAACUGUACAUGUAAAGACUAGUAGUUCAGAAUUACAUUAAGCAUUUCAAUUUUAAGCACCGUGUUCUGUUUAAUUGCGUUCCUAUUGAUUAAGUGACAAAUAAAAGAGAUUGAUUAAUUUGUUCUUGUAGGAGAGGCGAAUGGUAUCCGAAUAAAGAAAGCAAGGGUUUGAUGGAAGGCUUACUUGGAGCAAGAUAGCGAUCAAUCGAGUUGCUGCGUUUUAUUCUCUUUUAUCUUUGUUUUUUAAGAAAAAUAAACUGCCACGCGUAGAAACAGAAAAUUAAGUUCUUGUCAUUUUCAUGCAUAUGGAUUGUUGAUGUGUGUGUCAAUCAAAUCUCCGGUGUGUCAUUUGUAAUUUUCAACCUUUAUGCAUGCAAAUGGGAGACCUCUUACGUAUAAUAAAAUUAAUAUACUUCCCAAGAUGGUCUUAUCUUGCGUUGACUUUUUACGUUCCUUUGGUGAUGAUUUUGAAUGCCAAAAGCGUGGUCAUGGAUUUUUCGUGCAACUACAGAGCACAUUAACGAGAGACUUAUCCAUGAGGGUCCAUGCAGAUCAGUGUCUAAUUAACCAAUAAUUAAUAUAACUUAAAAAAUAUAGAGUUAACAAUUUUUAUGGGUCAGGCUCAAUUAUAGAUGUUCGUACAAAAUUUCUUGCUAAUGUAUACUUGAGUAUGAUAAUAAGUUUUAAUCAUUAUUAGUAAUUCACUUGAUAAUAUUAAACAAAUUUUCAUAUCAAUUAAGUUACAAAAUUUCUGUGACAAAUUUCCACGUACUGGAACCAUGCAAAAGGGCUUUGUUCAAACAGAGCUGCAUAGCCGUUGGCAAUUAAAAUUAUUUAUCAAUAAAGUUAAGUAGUAAGAAUUGGAUUGUGGAUUCCAUUAAUUAUUUCAAGGAAAAUUUUAUAGAUAAUGCCGUAAUGAAAUUUACGGCAUCAAUAUCAUGAUAAAUAUAAAUAUUGUAAAUUACAAAUAGAAUUAGUAAAUGUAAAGUAAAACCAGUAAAUUCAUAAAAGAUUAUUAAUUAUUUAAAAAAUUAACAUUGUUUCUACAUAAUUUUAGUGAAAAAUAUUUUAUUCAUUUACAAAAAAAAAUUCUUUAAUUAAACAAAAAAAAUUCAUUAAUUAAGCAAAAAAAUUAUACUGAAAAAAAAGUGGAAUAAGUUUUUUUAUCAGUGGUGUGGACUUUGUAAACUUUUCAUCCUUAAUUAAACAUCACAUGUAUUAUAGAAAUGCAAAACUACCAUUGUUAUAUUUAAAUUAAAAAAUAAUAAAUAUAUAAGGUAAUAAACAUUAUAACGAGUUUUUAUUUUAAAAUUGUAAACUUUUAUUUCUGACAAUAACUCUUAUAUUAAUUUAUUUAUUUUGCCUUUUAUUCAUAAGUUUUAUGCAUAAUCUACAAAGUUUAUGUUUUAUUUUGCAUUUAAUGUUGAUUUUCUUUUUUUAUAUUAUACGUAUAAGUUUUCAUUUUAUUUACCAGUAAUACAUCAAUUUAUCAGUUUUAUAGUAAUUUACUUAUUUUACCUUCCUUUUAUAAUUCUUAUGUUUCAUUUCCAAAAUUUAUGUUUUAUUUUACAGUCGUUGAUGAUUUACUAGUUUUAUGUUAUGUUUGCAAGUUUUUGUUUUGUUUACUAGUAAUAGAUUAAUGGGUAAUUUUUAAUUGAGUCCUCAUUAGUUCUAGAAAAAAAAUUCAGAGACCAGAAGUUUACUAAAUGAAUCAAUUAAAUUCUUUCAAUUACAAACUAAUGUCAUUCAAAUCCUUAACUUAAUUGCUCAGUUAAAAAUAUUAACAACGUUGAGGACAUUUUAGUAAAACAACAAAUGAGUCGUUUCUCAUUCUUUAUUUUUGACAGGUGGAAAUAGUUUAAAGUAAACUCAAUUAACCUGAUUAAGUUAAGGAUCAGUUCUUUCAAAUGAAAAAAAAACCUACAGAAACUGCCAUAUUCUUCGUCUGAGAGGAGAGAUCGAGAGAACGUGGGACGGCGCAAAAAAUGUUGUAUAAAUCUACUGUGAUUUUGACCAAAGCUUUGGUAGCAUUGAUUGAGUUCAAGUACUGGAGAGAACCUGAGUUUAAAGGUUAGUAACUCUAUUUUUUUAGUGAUUUCUGCAAGCAUUUUCUGAUAAAAAUUUUUCCAUAUUGAGUGAUCGUUGUGAAAAAUUAAGUUUUUCAAGUCUAUUUUUCAAAAUGACAAACUAUGUUUAAUUAUUGGUGGAUUCUUUUUUUUGUUCAAUGUUGUAUUUUGUUAAUUUGUUGUUUUUAAUUUGCUCUUUAUGUAAUUGUUAGACCAAAUACACCAUUAUUAUACCUGUAUUCAUUUCAACAAUUUGGUAUUGUUAUAUUAAUAAGAUUGAAUUCAUUGUAUUUGCUUCUUUGUUCAUGUAAAAUUGAAUUCUAUGUAUUCUUAUGAGUGAUAAUUUUUCUAUCUAUUAGACUAAAUUCACUAUAUUCACUACUUUCUUUCUUUUUGCUGGGCUAUUUUUUCUUUUUAGUUUAUAUUUUUUAUAUGUAUUAGAUUGAAUUUGCUUUUGUGCGUUUUUUAGCCGAAUUACAUGUAUAUUUCAUUUAGGUUGAGUUUUUUUGUUGUUUGCUAAAUAAAAUUAUAUUGGUUUAUCCUUUUUUGAUGCAAUACUUUUGUUUAAAAUUAAUGCAGGUAGCCAUGUUACCUUUUUUUCGGUUAAAAUUAAUGGGGUGAUGUAUGCGAUAGGAUAUAGGGAACCAGAGGAAUAUAAGAUUAUUAGGCUGUUUCUUGAAAUUCAAGAUGUCAUGGUUAAGCAUGGACACAGUGAAAUGGAUUUGAUUGAAAUUUCUGUUGUA
rnacentral:lncRNA from 1 species